GUAUACAAUCUUUUAUUGUCUCGCGCUUUUGUCUUUCAUCAAAGUGCUGUUUCUCCUUCUGCCCGUUUUCAAUCCGCGUUAAGCUAACCAUUCCCCAUAACACACAAACAUAGGGAGUGACGAGAUGGAGAAGAAAAUCGGUUUUAUUGGCUGCGGUAAUAUGGGCAAGGCUAUUCUCGGCGGACUGAUUGCCAGCGGUCAGGUACUUCCCGGUCAGAUCUGGGUCUACACCCCCUCCCCCGAUAAAGUUGCCGCCCUGCAUGAUCAGUACGGCAUUAAUGCGGCGCAAAGCGCGCAGGAGGUCGCUCAGGUCGCGGAUAUCGUUUUCGGCGCGGUAAAACCGGGCAUUAUGGUGAAAGUGCUCAGUGAAAUCUCCUCCAGCCUGAACAAAGACUCACUGGUGGUCUCUAUCGCCGCAGGCGUAACGCUUGAUCAGCUUGCGCGCGCGCUGGGAC
rnacentral:misc_RNA from 1 species